CUUAAGUGGCGGACGGGUGAGUAACGCGUGGGUAACCUGCCGUAUACAGGGGGAUAACACUUAGAAAUAGGUGCUAAAACCGCAUAAGCGCACAGUGCCGCAUGGGCGCAGUGUGAAAAACUCCGGUGGUAUACGAUGGACCCGCGUCUGAUUAGCCAGUUGGCAGGGUAACGGCCUACCAAAGCGACGAUCAGUAGCCGGCCUGAGAGGGUGGACGGCCACAUUGGGACUGAGACACGGCCCAAACUCCUACGGGAGGCAGCAG
rnacentral:rRNA from 1 species